rnacentral:rRNA from 1 species
UACGUAGGUCCCGAGCGUUGUCCGGAUUUAUUGGGCGUAAAGCGAGCGCAGGUGGUUUAUUAAGUCUGGUGUAAAAGGCAGUGGCUCAACCAUUGUAUGCAUUGGAAACUGGUAGACUUGAGUGCAGGAGAGGAGAGUGGAAUUCCAUGUGUAGCGGUGAAAUGCGUAGAUAUAUGGAGAAACACCAGUGGCGAAAGCGGCUCUCUGGCCUGUAACUGACACUGAGGCUCGAAAGCGUGGGGAGCAAACAGG